CAAAGGAGGGGACAACAGUUGGAAACGACUGCUAAUACCGCAUACGAUCUAAUCUCGGCAUCGAGGAUAGAUGAAAGGUGGCCUCUACAUGUAAGCUAUCACUGAAGGAGGGGAUUGCGUCUGAUUAGCUAGUUGGAGGGGUAACGGCCCACCAAGGCGAUGAUCAGUAGCCGGUCUGAGAGGAUGAACGGCCACAUUGGGACUGAGACACGGCCCAG
rnacentral:rRNA from 1 species